rnacentral:rRNA from 1 species
AUGGAAUCAUGGUGUCGAGGGGAACCUUCUGGCGCAAGGGCAUGGAUGGGGAGGGCCUGCAUCAACGGGAUGGAGCAUUGGUGUCCAUGGUGCAUCAUUCUUUGGACAGAGUUUCUGGAGACAGAGAGGAAGGGAGAAGGCUGGGUGUCACGAGAAUUGGAAAAGGAGGUGGAGGCGCAUAGCAUGAUUGUGAACGUACAGAGGAAGGAAAGAAGAGGAGGCGUGAGAGGAAUAGGAAGGGAGGAGGAAUUAAAGGAACGUGCAGAGUUUCUAUGUGUGCACGUAGACAGGCAGAUGGUCUCUCUUGCAUUCCGCUUCUCGAGGGAAUACCUUGAUGAGAAAUUUGAGUCCUGCACAAGGAGAGCAAUCCCCUACAGAGUGGAAUAUGUGAAGAACAUAUCGUCUUCAGGGAUGCAGUCUAGUUGUGGCUUUAACAAUCAGUUAACUCGUGAUAUCAAUGUCUUAGCCAAUCUCCCCCUUUCCGAUCUGACUGAUGGUAAUCCUUGGACUACGGAACAUGCUGUGCACUGGACAACCUGCUCCUCCUGCGCGUACCCCCUCUGGGAUAAGUCCACUUGCAUGCCUACUUGCUGUUAUGCCAUUAGCAUGAUAAAAUGUGUUUCUUCCUGCCCUGCUUGCUGGGAGAAAUCUGGCUCGCAUAAACUGAUUAUGUACCAGGUCCAUUCUUUUCUCAAGGCCCAAAUUGCAAUGCAGGCAUCAUAA